CGCGCGGAAGAACCAAACGCGCGCUUCUUGUAGCACGAGUUACUUGAGCGAUGCCGCUACGCCGGGCAUGAUGGGACUUGUAGUUCUUCUGGAAGGGGCGGACUCCAGCGCGGCAGUAGCCCAAAGACGAGAGUGAGAAAGACGUCACCUGAGGAGGAACUGCUGGCGAGAUACGAGAUACUGGAGAUACUGAGCGUCGUGGUGCGCGCUGGUAAUUCCAGCUCUUUGCUGAGAGUAGUACCACCGGUAACCUCCUUGAACUGGCCAUUUGAAAGAAGUCAUCCUGCAGAGAUUUCAUACUUCUUCCAAGUUAAUACAUUACUUUCUAGGAAAAGCCAGUGUUCACUGGUGAAAUGGCUAAAUUGACAAAGUAAUGACAAGUAAACUUCUCUAGAUUUUAAAAAAAUCUUUUUAUGUUUAGCACCACCUCAAAUCUUCAGUAAGUUAAUGAUGAUAAUCCUUGUAUACAAAAUUAAAUGUUUUUGUUAUCUUUACAA